UUUUCUCAGCAUUGCAAUUUAGUAGCAAUUGACCUGGUUAGGUUUAGGCUGCAGGUUCCCAUCUGCCUUCUGUGGACUCUGGUUCCAAUGUUAGUCCCGAUUUUGAAGAUGGCAGUGCUGUUUGGACUUUUCCCGGGUGUGUGCCAGUCAGCAGUCAGCCUGGGACUUGGCAGGUGGUCUGUUAGUUUAGUUCUCAGCCUUCGGUGUGGUAAUUAGGAUCAGAUCCUAGCAUCUGCAGCUUAGAGCUGAGCCUGGGCGUUCGUCAAUAACCUGCAGCAUCAUUUUCCCGAUCUCCUCUGGGGCUCCCUUUUCUGUCCUCCAGCCAGGAAGCUGGGGCUUCAGUUACCUUGUUCUGCUUUGUGUGCUUCUACGACUGUGUCCAGGGCCACCUGCCAGGGGGACAGGGAAAGAACAACACAUAGGAUUUGGCCACACUUUUGGGAUCACAGCUCCUCCUCUGAGUUUUGACUUGGCAGCUUUCUCUGUCCAGGGUCGCCUGGCAGGGGGACAGACAGAAGAGC
rnacentral:lncRNA from 1 species